GGAAUUACCUCGUGUGGUGUGCGGUCGACUUUGCGACUGCGGGUGCUCGGCUCGGCGUGAUCUUUAUUGAUGUGCACUACGGAGGAUUUGGUGCUUUUCCUCACCAGGUGUCUCCUCACGCCAGGAACAUCCUCGAAACGAUUGUCAAAGAUUCCAAAAAGAAAUUCCAGUUAGCAUUUCCAUCAUAGUUUGGAGCUAUUAAUAAAAUAUUCCUGUAGGAAUUGUCUUUCAGGGCAAGAAACAAAUAAAGGGGUAGAGAAGAGAGAAGAAGGGAGGGGAAAAUUUUCAAGA